rnacentral:rRNA from 1 species
GUCCACACGGUAAACGAUGGAUACUCGCUGUUGGCGAUAUACUGUCAGCGGCCAAGCGAAAGCAUUAAGUAUCCCACCUGGGGAGUACGCCGGCAACGGUGAAACUCAAAGGAAUUGACGGGGGCCCCGCACAAGCGGAGGAACAUGUGGUUUAAUUCGAUGAUACGCGAGGAACCUUACCCGGGCUUAAAUUAUGCAUGAAUGAUCUGGAGACAGAUCAGCCGCAAGGCAUGUAUGAAGGUGCUGCAUGGUUGUCGU